rnacentral:rRNA from 1 species
AGGGUUUGAUCAUGGCUCAGAAUCAACGCUGGCGGCGUGCCUAACACAUGCCAGUCGAACGCGAAAAUCCCGCAAGGGAUUAGUAGAGUGGCAAACGGGUGAGUAACACGUGGGUGACCUGCCUUCGAGUGGGGGAUAACGUCCCGAAAGGGACGCUAAUACCGCAUGACAUCCUGCCUUUGAAGAGGCGGUGAUCAAAGCUGGGGAUCGCAAGACCUAGCGCUUGAAGAGGGGCCCGCGCCCGAUUAGCUAGUUGGUGGGGUAAUGGCCUACCAAGGCAACGAUCGGUAGCCGGCCUGAGAGGGCGGACGGCCACACUGGGACUGAGACACGGCCCAGACUCCUACGGGAGGCAGCAGUGGGGAAUUGUUCGCAAUGGGCGCAAGCCUGACGACGCAACGCCGCGUGGAGGAUGAAGACCUUCGGGUCGUAAACUCCUUUCGAUCGAGACGAAUGGCCUUCGGGUGAACAAUCCGGAGGAAUGACGGUACCGAGAGAAGAAGCCCCGGCUAACUCCGUGCCAGCAGCCGCGGUAAUACGGGGGGGGCAAGCGUUGUUCGGAAUUACUGGGCGUAAAGGGCUCGUAGGUGGCCAACUAAGUCACACGUGAAAUCCCUCGGCUUAACCGGGGAACUGCGUGUGAUACUGGAUGGCUUGAGUUUGGGAGAGGGAUGCGGAAUUCCAGGUGUAGCGGUGAAAUGCGUAGAUAUCUGGAGGAACACCGGUGGCGAAGGCGGCAUCCUGGACCAAUACUGACACUGAGGAGCGAAAGCCAGGGGAGCAAACGGGAUUAGAUACCCCGGUAGUCCUGGCCCUAAACGAUGAAUGCUUGGUGUGGCGGGUAUCGAUCCCUGCCGUGCCGAAGCUAACGCAUUAAGCAUUCCGCCUGGGGAGUACGGUCG